GGCUGAGACGGUAAAGCAUCUGCCUACAAUGCAGGAGUCCUGGGUUCAAUCCCUG
rnacentral:tRNA from 1 species